rnacentral:lncRNA from 1 species
AAAAGAACACCCUGGCUGAAAACACAUCUGAGACUGAAAAAUAUUCCUCCUUAAAAAAUGGAGCGUGUUUGAGGCGCCGGUGUUCUGGAGAGGACUGGUGGGCAGCAGAGGGCCUGGGAGGAGCGUCAGACCCGGAUGCCUGAAGGCAGAGUUGGCAGUCCGAGGCACCAGCUACUGCUGAAGGUCAGCAAAAGGCAGCAGCUGAAGACGAGAGAGUUAUCUGCAAGUCUGAGUAAGGGACAGGCAGAGCCGCCAGAACUCUACUCCUAGUGCCAAGAAGCAGAAGAUCAGGUUCCAGUUCAGUUUCUGGAGCAGAUAAGAUUCCAUGAGCUGCAUGAAUCUUGGAGAUUCAGAAGAUGGUCUCAGCCGGCAAGAUUGGUCAUGGCCAUUGGCUUUUUCUGAAGCAGCAGUCCAGCGUCAGUCAUCAGCAAAAUGGUGACAAGAGACAGCUUCACUGGCUUUGUGAUCCCUGGAUCUCAUCUAAAUUGACGUUCUUAAAGUCAGCAGUUUCAGUGAUGGCUCCCUGAUUCUCCACCUUCCUGACUGUGGUAGGAGAGCAGUUCCCCUGCUGGGCUCAUUCUGUCGUGUUGUUCUCGAUGCUAUUUCUGGAAGCCUAACUCAGAGCUUUCCAGUCCUUCCAGGAUUGUGCGAACUCCUUGUUUCCU